ACUGACCUUCUCAGUGGGCUGCUGGAGGAUGGGCAGGCUUUCCUGCAGUCUGUCCAGCCCUCGGUGCGCGUACUCGCUGGCCGACGCGACUGCAGGGCGCCAGAGAAAACACACUUUCAGCGCAACUGCCCUUCAAAGGUCAUGACCUGCGAUUUAAAUAAUGCAACCCAUUCGGAGGCUCCAAGAUGGCUCAGCUGGGAAAGGCACCUGUCCCCAAACCUAAAGACCAGAGUUGAAUCCACAUGGACUCACACGGUGGAAAGAAAGAAGUGACUCCCACAGAAAGCUUUCCUCUGAUAAGCGCCUGUGACAGAGCCCCUCCACCAAGAUAGAUAAUUGUAAAAAUAAAGAAUGAAAAAGGAAACUUCAAA